AUUUAUGGUGUGUGUGUGCGCGUGAGCACGCGGAAAAAAGAUGAAAAAGAUAUUCGAAACUGUGUUCAGCUCAGUGAUUCUUCAGCAACAUGUUAGAAUCACUGCGCAGUUUUAAAAGUUCCGAUGCCUAGCCACACACAAGAUCAAUUAAAUCAGAAUCUCUGGGUGUGGAAUUCAGGUAUCACUAUUUAGUCAACUCUUCCCAGGUUAUUCUAAUUGCAACCAAAGUGGCAAACCCUGCUCUUCAGCGGCUAAGCAACGUUCUUGCGACCUUCCCAAGAUGGCGGCCACUGACAGCUUCCGCCUUUACGUAAACCGGCAAGGGGCGGGCUCUCCAGGUGCGCAUGCGUGUAGCGUCUCUUCGCCCUCUGCUCCCUGCUCCUUUCUCCCCCUCCUCCAUUUUGUUCGCGGACGCUGGGGACGGUGGGAGCAGAUCCAUUUCCGGGUUGGCAAAAGGGGCGGCGGCGGCGAGAAGGGGAGCUUGCCGCGGGGCAAGCAGGACUGGACGGAGCCAGAGCCGAGGUGGCGGAGGAGUAGCUCUUGGAGCCGCUGCGGCCAGGUCUUGGAAUGGAUUAUGAAGAUCAUUUCUCGCAGUAUAUGGCAGUGGCCCUGUAACAUUGCAGAGAACCUCAAGACAAGUUUUGGCGGCCCUGGAUUCACCUUUCUCCUCCCUUCAUUAGCCCAGAGGAUUCUGUUCCUGAUAUGCUGGUUCAGAUCCAGAGGUUUUGACCCUGGUCCAGGGCUUUGAUUGUGAUCUUGAGUGAAUGCUAUGUGUUGGUGGGAUUUAAACCACAACCCAGUGACGGGAUUCUAGGAAAAGUAGUUCCCAGACCUCCAGCCUCCCUCCUCUCCUGUGAGUCCAGAGGGGAGUAGAGUGGGUGAAGAAUCUGUCCGAAAUGCAGGAGACACAGGAGACACGGGUUUGAUCCCUGAGUUGGAAAGAUCCCUUGGAGGAGGAAAUGGCAACCCAUCCAGUAUUCUUGCCUGAAAAAUCCUGUGGACAGAGGAGCCUGGCAGGCUAUAGCCCAUGGAGUCUCAAAGACUUGGACACGACUAGGCGACUAAACACACACGCUCACGCUCACACUUCUGCCUCCAUCCUUUUUUCUUCCAGGAUUGUGUGCUGCUUGUAACAGUGAAAAAUCAUGGAA
ensembl:lncRNA